rnacentral:rRNA from 1 species
GACGAACGCUGGCGGCGUGCUUAACACAUGCAAGUCGAACGGAAAGGCCCUGCUUUUGCGGGGUGCUCGAGUGGCGAACGGGUGAGUAACACGUGAGUAACCUGUCCUUGACUUUGGGAUAACUUCAGGAAACUGGGGCUAAUACAGGAUAGGAGCUCCGGCUGCACGGUGGGGGUUGGAAAGUUUCGGCGGUUGGGGAUGGGCUCGCGGCUUAUCAGCUUGUUGGUGGGGUAGUGGCUCACCAAGGCUUUGACGGGUAGCCGGCCUGAGAGGGUGACCGGCCACAUUGGGACUGAGAUACGGCCCAGACUCCUACGGGAGGCAGCAGUGGGGAAUAUUGCACAAUGGGCGGAAGCCUGAUGCAGCAACGCCGCGUGAGGGAUGACGGCCUUCGGGUUGUAAACCGCUUUCGCCUGUGAAGAAGCGAGAGUGACGGUAAUGGGUAAAGAAGCACCGGCUAACUACGUG